UCAUCUAUAAUAGCAAGUGGUAAUCUAAAUAUUUGAUAUUGCUUUGGGGUUAUGGAAUUUUGGCGACUUGAUUUGUCCCUAAGAUCUUUUUUGUAGUAGCAUUUGCAUUGAUUUCAAUUCAUUUAUUGUUUGGUCAACUGCACUAACCAGAAUCGUUAUUUUUCAAGGCAAAUCUUGAAGAGUUUUUUUGGUAGAUUUUGAGGAUCUUUCUGAUAGUGAUAACGCGAAUUUGGACGAAGACAUUGGGCAACAGAGCACAUGGAAGAGGAUGUUAAUGGAGACCUAUUAGAACAUUGGUAGGGAUAUGUAUAAAACAAUGCUAAUAAGAGAUUAUGUGUAGGCUUAUGCCUUGAAAAAAAGACUCAUUUGGGGAAGCCGAGUAGGGAGUUCAAGAAAGUCUAUAAGUUACCACUCCUCAAAUAUGGAACAUAAGUUGCUAUCGUAUGCUCCAAUAAUCUUAUCCAACCCUUGAACAA